rnacentral:lncRNA from 1 species
GAGCAUUUGCAAUUUUGCCCAGAAAUGACUAAAAAUGAUCUCCCUAAUUCAUAAAACUAUUUUUCCUUGCAACUAAUUAAGGGUAAUUGAAGGAAUUGUAAAUAUUUUUAAGUCAUGAUUAUAUAUGUAUUUCUCUUUUAAUAGUAGUAAGAUAACAUUAAAAACUUGCCAAAAAAAAAAACAAACAGAAAAGCCUAUAUAUAUAAACGAUACGAUGGCUUCACAAAAAAAAAAAAAAACCCUAAAGACCAGGAAAUCAGAGUUUUGUAGUUAUUAUAAUUUUCUUUGUUAAUUUUUUAACAUUAUUUUUUGGCAUUUUGGUUUGAG